UUUUUUUUUCUCCCACCAAGCAGUUUCCCGGUGCCACUCCCUGCUGUAAUGCAGGCCCGUACCUGCGAAGGCCUGAAGUGGGUAAGGGCGAGGCCCACAGGUCAGCGCGUUCGUUGCUUAGAUUAAAGCUGUAUGCCUAAGUUAUGGUAGAAAUUCAGGCAAAGUUCUCUCAGCUGCAUUUACCUUUGCAGAAAUUACCGUGCUCACCCUUCAGCCGCACAGCAGAGGCCAAACCCCCUUGGCCACGUCCCUGGGCCUGUGCCCAGCUCAGCCCCCAGAGUGCGCCGGCUCCGGGCCCCCAGGUGCCUGGGCGAGGCUCUCAUCCUCUACUGAAGGGUUUUCCCCAUAAAGCAGGAGGAAAGUAACACCCAGCAUCAGCGAGCCAGGCCUGGGGCCUGAGGACAGAGCCUGUACUUCCCCUGGGCUUCAGGGUUCAGAAACCCUCAGGUGACAGCCUGGAGGGGAAGUCCCUGUGCAGAAGGACAACAAAUGAUUUUUUCCCCUACCUACCGUUCAGAGGAAACAUAUGCUCAAAGCUUUGUUCUUCUGUACUACCACUAAAAAUAUUUAGAUAUUGCUUGUAGGGGGCAGGAAUUGCCAUUUUAAAAGAAAAGCAGAAUGCUUACAUGACCGUGCCUAAAAGUUUCAGGCAGGUGCUUUCCUACGUAUUCAUAAAACCGCUGCCAGACACUUGGCAUCUUCUUUAUUACAUUAAUGUAAAAAAUUCAGUUUCUCAGGAGAGCAAAGUAAAAGGCAAUUCCGAUUAGUUACAAACAGUGCUGUUUUAAAGUUACUAUACAGUCAUAUUUCUAAAAGAGUAUUUUUCUUAAAAUGAACCUAUCAAAAUUUGUAAAUAGUUGGUAUCAGACUACAUUUCUCCCUUCCCCCUUUGCAAGGAAAAACAGGACGAAGGAAGGAGGGGGCCUGGGCAAGAAAGUUCCACUUUGUACACAUGAAAAAUUGCCACCCUCACUGCUGACCUGGCAGCAAGAAUGUAUUUUAACCGCAGAAACACCGCAGGCCGAGUUUUCCAAAGCGGCCUCUAACAUAGGGCCACAAGGACACCAUGCCAGAGGGGUGGCUAAAGCCCUUGCUUUUGACUUUCUGUACGAGAGGUUUACAAAUGUUGAACUAAUAAAACCUCCAAAGUUCAUUAAACAGAAAAAUAAGAAUCUUCCUCCUCUUCAUCUGAUGAAUCUGCUGCCUCGGGCAUGAAGAGCUUCCCUACAACAGAGGUCUGAUCCACUUCUGCAAUAAGAAAAACAGGGAGGAGAUUAUUAAUGUGUGUGCCUGAGCUGAAAAAGCAGUUACAGAAGGUCCAAAGCUAAGAUGCUAACAGCCAGGAGCCAGUGGCAAUGUGAAAGUGAGUGAGCCUGACACGGAGGAGGAGAAACAAAACUACUUACUUUUAUCGAAAGUAAACUUGGUUCUGCUUGAAGCUGGUGUACCAAGUGCAGCUCCAGCCUGG